GACAGAGGGUGCAAACGUUGUUCGGAAUUACUGGGCGUAAAGCGCGUGUAGGCAGCUCGGAAAGUCGGAUGUGAAAGCCCUGGGCUCAACCUAGGAAGUGCACUCGAAACUGGCAGGCUAGAGUACUGGAGAGGUUGGUGGAAUUCUCGGUGUAGAGGUGAAAUUCGUAGAUAUCGAGAGGAACACCGGUGGCGAAGGCGGCCAACUGGACAGAUACUGACGCUGAGACACGAAAGCGUGGGGAGCAAACAGG
rnacentral:rRNA from 1 species